rnacentral:misc_RNA from 1 species
AACGCAAAUGGCGCUCCCCUGCAGGGGGGAGCAUGUCUGGCAGAGCAUUCGAGCGCGGUUAGACCCGGCAGGGGCUAGGCUUGUCUCGUGAUGGCGGGUGUGCGGUGUGCAUGCGGUGCACUGGCAAUGGCGGGACGGAAUGGAUGGGAGCAGCUGCAGCGCAGCGCCAUGAGCCAGGACGACAGUCGUGUCAUGGGGUAGCGAGGCAGCAGCGGCGAGUGGACGUGCAGUGUGCCGUGUAUGCGGUGUGUGUGUGCCACGAGCAAUGGACGAGAAUCUCUGGUCAGACAAGAGUACCCGCUGGACUUAA